UCAGAGGGCCGGAUAGCCGCUUUGCAAGGGCUUUUGCCUUUGCCGGGAGGAAAGUCCGGGCUUCACGGAAACACGGUGCCGGGUAAUGCCCGGGCAGGGCGACCUGACGGAAAGUGCAGCAGAGAGGAAACCGCCGAUGGGCCUUACGGUCACAGGCAAGGCUGAAAGGGUGCGGUAAGAGCGCACCGCGUCUUUGGCAACAAAGACGGCAUGGUAAACCCCGCCGGAAGCAAGAUCAAAUAGGGGCUGCAUAUGGAUUGUUUCCGAUCCGCAGCCCGGGUAGAUCGCUAGAGGUUUUUGGUAACAAACGCCCCAGAUGAAUGGCUAUCUCCGCCGGCGCGUUGCGCAAGCAGGGCGAAGACGGAACAGAACCCGGCUUACAGGCCCUCUGACCGA
rnacentral:RNase_P_RNA from 2 species